ACGAAGGGUGCAAGCGUUACUCGGAAUUACUGGGCGUAAAGCGUGCGUAGGUGGUUUGUUAAGUCUGUUGUGAAAGCCCCGGGCUCAACCUGGGAAUGGCAAUGGAUACUGGCAAGCUUGAGCACAGUAGAGGCAGGUGGAAUUCCCGGUGUAGCGGUGGAAUGCGUAGAGAUCGGGAAGAACAUCAGUGGCGAAGGCGGCCUGCUGGGCUGUUGCUGACGCUGAGGCGCGACAGCGUGGGGAGCAAACAGGA
rnacentral:rRNA from 1 species